UGAGUAACACGUAUCCAACCUGCCGUCUACUCUUGGCCAGCCUUCUGAAAGGAAGAUUAAUCCAGGAUGGCAUCAUGAGUUCACAUGUCCGCAUGAUUAAAGGUAUUUUCCAGUAGACGAUGGGGAUGCGUUCCAUUAGAUAGUAGGCGGGGUAACGGCCCACCUAGUCAACGAUGGAUAGGGGUUCUGAGAGGAAGGUCCCCCACAUUGGAACUGAGACACGGUCCAA
rnacentral:rRNA from 1 species